rnacentral:rRNA from 1 species
GAUGAACGCUGGCGGCGUGCCUAACACAUGCAAGUCGAGCGAAAAGGCCACUUUCGGGGGCUACUCGAGUGGCGAACGGGUGAGUAACACGUGAGUAACCUGCCCAUCACUUUGGGAUAACUUCAGGAAACUGGGGCUAACACCGGACAGGAGCUCCUGCUGCAUGGUGGGGUCUGGAAAGUUUCGCGGGUUGGGGAUGGACUAGCGGCUUAUCAGCUUGUUGGUGGGGUAAUGGCUUACCAAGGCGUUGGCGGGUCGCCGGCCCGUGAGGGUGAGCGGCGAUACUGACUCCGACGGAAGGCCCCGACAGCUACUGGAGGGAGCUGUGGGAAAGAUUGAACGAUGGGUGGCAGCCUGAUGCAGAAACGCUGCGUGCGGGAUGACGGUCUUCGUGUUGUAAACCGAUUUCGCUCAUGACGAUGCUUUGUGUGACGGUAGUGGGUAAAGAAGCACCGGCUAACUACGUG